rnacentral:rRNA from 1 species
UCAAACUACCCUCUGGACCGGGAUACCCUCGGGAAACUGAGGCCAAUCCCAGAUACUGCUUUCAUGUUGGAAUACAGAAAGUCGGAAACGGUCCGCCGCCGGAGGACGUGACUGCGGCCGAUUAGGUAGAUGGUGGGGUAACGGCCCACCAUGCCGAUAAUCGGUACGGGUUGUGAGAGCAAGAACCCGGAGACGGUAUCUGAGACAAGAUACCGGGCCCUACGGGGCGCAGCAGGCGCGAAACCUUUACACUGCACGCCAGUGCGAUAAGGGGACCCCGAGUGCGAGGGCAUACAGUCCUCGCUUUUCGUGACCGUAAGGUGGUCACAGAAUAAGAGCUGGGCAAGACCGGUGCCAGCCGCCGCGGUAAUACCGGCAGCUCGAGUGAUAGCCACUUUUAUUGGGCCUAAAGCGUCCGUAGCCGGCCGAACGGGUCCGUCGGGAAAUCCACUCGCUCAACGAGUGGACGUCCGGCGGAAACCAGUCGGCUUGGGGCCGGGAGACCAGAGAGGUACGUCCGGGGUAGGAGUGAAAUCCUGUAAUCCUGGACGGACCGCCGGUAGCGAAAGCGUCUCUGGAGAACGGACCCGACGGUGAGGGACGAAAGCUUGGGUCUCGAACCGGAUUAGAUACCCGGGUAGUCCAAGCCGUAAACGAUGCUCGCUAGGUGUGGCGUUGGCUACGAGCCAGCGCUGUGCCGUAGGGAAGCCGAGAAGCGAGCCGCCUGGGAAGUACGUCCGCAAGGAUGAAACUUAAAGGAAUUGGCGGGGGAGCACUACAACCGGAGGAGCCUGCGGUUUAAUUGG